CCCUUAGAUGUUCUGGGCCGCACGCGCGCUACACUGACGAAUGCAACGAGCUUAUAACCUUGGCCGAAAGGUCUGGGUAAUCUCCAAAUUUCGUCGUGAUGGGGAUAGAUUAUUGCAAUUAUUAAUCUUCAACGAGGAAUGCCUAGUAAGCGCAAGUCAUCAGCUUGCGUUGAUUACGUCCCUGCCCUUUGUACACACCGCCCGUCGCUCCUACCGAUUGAAUGGUCCGGUGAAGCCUCGGGAUUGUGGCGAGUUCCCUUUAUUGGGAGUUUGUCGCGAGAACUUGUCUAAACCUUAUCAUUUAGAGGAAGGUGAAGUCGUAACA
rnacentral:rRNA from 1 species